rnacentral:rRNA from 1 species
GUGGGGAAUCUUCCGCAAUGGACGAAAGUCUGACGGAGCAACGCCGCGUGAGUGAAGAAGGUUUUCGGAUCGUAAAGCUCUUUCGUUAGGGACGAACGUGCUCUUUGUGAAUAAUGAGGAGUAAUGACGGUACCUAAAUAAGAAGCCACGGCUAACUACGUGCCAGCAGCCGCGGUAAUACGUAGGUGGCAAGCGUUGUCCGGAAUUAUUGGGCGUAAAGCGCGCGCAGGCGGGAUAUCAAGUCUGUCUUAAAAGUGCGAGGCUCAACCUCGUGAGGGGACAGAAACUGGUAUUCUUGAGUGUCGGAGAGGAAAGUGGAAUUCCAAGUGUAGUGGUGAAAUGCGUAGAGAUUUGGAAGAACACCAGUGGCGAAGGCGACUUUCUGGACGAUGUCUGACGCUGAGGCGCGAAAGCUAGGGGAGCGAACGGGAUUAGAAACCCUAGUAGUCC